CCUACGGGAGGCAGCAGUGGGGAAUAUUGCACAAUGGGGGAAACCCUGAUGCAGCGACGCCGCGUGUGUGAAGAAGGAAUUCGUUAUGUAAAGCACUAUCAGCGGGGAAGAAAGUGACGGUACCUGAAUAAGAAGCCCCGGCUAACUACGUGUCAGCAGCCGCGGUAAAACGUAGGGGGCAAGCGUUAUCCGGAUUUACUGGGGGAAAGGGGAGCGUAGACGGCAGUGCAAGUCUGGAGUGAAAGGCGGGGGCUCAACCCCCGGACUGCUCUGGAAACUGUACGGCUGGAGUGCAGUAGAGGUAAGUAGAAUUCCUAGUGUAGCGGUGAAAUGCGUAGAGAUUAGGAGGAACACCAGUGGCGAAGGCGGCUUACUGGACUGUAACUGACGUUGAGGUUCGAAAGCGUGGGGAGCAAACAGGAUUAGAUACCCCUGUAGUC
rnacentral:rRNA from 1 species